GACGAACGCUGGCGGCGUGCUUAACACAUGCAAGUCGAACGGAAAGGCCCUGCUUUUGUGGGGUGCUCGAGUGGCGAACGGGUGAGUAACACGUGAGUAACCUGCCCUUGACUUUGGGAUAACUUCAGGAAACUGGGGCUAAUACCGGAUAGGAGCUCCUGCUGCAUGGUGGGGGUUGGAAAGUUUCGGCGGUUGGGGAUGGACUCGCGGCUUAUCAGCUUGUUGGUGGGGUAGUGGCUUACCAAGGCUUUGACGGGUAGCCGGCCUGAGAGGGUGACCGGCCACAUUGGGACUGAGAUACGGCCCAGAAUCCUACGGGAGGCAGCAGUGGGGAAUAUUGCACAGUGGGCGGAAGCCUGAUGCAGCAACGUCGCGUGCGGGAUGACGGCCUUCGGGUUGUAAACCGCUUUCGCCUGUGACGAAGCGUGAGUGACGGUAAUGGGUAAAGAAGCACCGGCUAACUACGUG
rnacentral:rRNA from 1 species